UCGAACGAACUCUGGUAUUGAUUGGUGCUUGCAUCAUGAUUUACAUUUGAGUGAGUGGCGAACUGGUGAGUAACACGUGGGAAACCUGCCCCAGAAGCGGGGGAUAACACCUGGAAACAGAUGCUAAUACCGCAUAACAACUUGGACCGCAUGGUCCGAGUUUGAAAGAUGGCUUCGGCUAUCACUUUUGGAUGGUCCCGCGGCGUAUUAGCUAGAUGGUGGGGUAACGGCUCACCAUGGCAAUGAUACGUAGCCGACCUGAGAGGGUAAUCGGCCACAUUGGGACUGAGACACGGCCCAAACUCCUACGGGAGGCAGCAGUAGGGAAUCUUCCACAAUGGACGAAAGUCUGAUGGAGCAACGCCGCGUGAGUGAAGAAGGGUUUCGGCUCGUAAAACUCUGUUGUUAAAGAAGAACAUAUCUGAGAGUAACUGUUCAGGUAUUGACGGUAUUUAACCAGAAAGCCACGGCUAACUACGUGCCAGCAGCCGCGGUAAUACGUAGGUGGCAAGCGUUGUCCGGAUUUAUUGGGCGUAAAGCGAGCGCAGGCGGUUUUUUAAGUCUGAUGUGAAAGCCUUCGGCUCAACCGAAGAAGUGCAUCGGAAACUGGGAAACUUGAGUGCAGAAGAGGACAGUGGAACUCCAUGUGUAGCGGUGAAAUGCGUAGAUAUAUGGAAGAACACCAGUGGCGAAGGCGGCUGUCUGGUCUGGUAACUGACGCUGAGGCUCGAAAGUAUGGGUAGCAAACAGGAUUAGAUACCCUGGUAGUCCAUACCGUAAACGAUGAAUGCUAAGUGUUGGAGGGUUUCCGCCCUUCAGUGCUGCAGCUAACGCAUUAAG
rnacentral:rRNA from 2 species